UACGAAGGGGGCUAGCGUUGCUCGGAAUCACUGGGCGUAAAGCGCACGUAGGCGGCUUUUUAAGUCAGGGGUGAAAUCCUGGAGCUCAACUCCAGAACUGCCUUUGAUACUGAGAAGCUUGAGUCCGGGAGAGGUGAGUGGAACUGCGCGUGUAGAGGUGAAAUUCGUAGAUAUUCGCAAGAACACCAGUGGCGAAGGCGGCUCACUGGCCCGGUACUGACGCUGAGGUGCGAAAGCGUGGGGAGCAAACAGGG
rnacentral:rRNA from 1 species